UGACAAACCGGAGGAAGGUGGGGAUGACGUCAAGUCAUCAUGGCCCUUACGGCCCUGGGCUACACACGUGCUACAAUGGUCGGUACAAAGGGUUGCCAAGCCGCGAGGUGGAGCUAAUCCCAUAAAACCGAUCGUAGUCCGGAUCGCAGUCUGCAACUCGACUGCGUGAAGUCGGAAUCGCUAGUAAUCGUGAAUCAGAAUGUCACGGUGAAUACGUUCCCGGGCCUU
rnacentral:rRNA from 1 species